AAUGAUACUUCUGCUUAGUCCUAAGUAAUCCUAAGGAGAGCAGCCUGCCUACAGUGGGAGGAAAAUGUACGCUUGUAUUUGAGAAAGAAUACCGGUGACUUUU
rnacentral:sRNA from 1 species